rnacentral:rRNA from 1 species
UAGGGCUUCACACGUAAUACAAUGGUCGGUACAGAGGGUUGCCAACCCGCGAGGGGGAGCCAAUCCCAGAAAACCGAUCGUAGUCCGGAUUGUAGUCUGCAACUCGACUGCAUGAAGUCGGAAUCGCUAGUAAUCGCGGAUCAGCAUGUCGCGGUGAAUACCGUUCCCGGCCUU